GUCAAAAUUAGGAGAAAAAAGUUGUUUUUGGAGGCCGAGCGAUAGCUACUCUUCAAACCACUACUAAUAUUGCUUAGGAGAGCAGGCCAGGGAGGAAAAAGCACCUCAAUUAUGUACAAAUUGGAGACAAUAAGUCGAUUCUUAUGAUUUAAAAAAAAAAAUUGCAAAAAUCAAACCACGAGCUUCUCCAGUGAAUAGAUUCCUCAGGGGGUGGGCAUCUCUCACUCACUGGCGGACCAGAGAUGCUGCUAAUCUGACCACAUUUCAGCAGACACCUGAGCACCUACUCCAGGGAAAAGCCCCAGGGAGGCACAGAAAGAAGCAAAGCUCACGCUCCCAGCAGAUCCAUCAGGGCCUCCUGUAGAUAUUCCCCAUCUCAGGACAUCUGCUUCUCUCCUUCAUAGGGAAGAAGGCAGAUAUCAGGGAUCAUCAAGGAAAUAUCCCCCUACCUCUCAUCCUUCUCCUGAGACACCAGGCGAGACUUUUCAAGCAGGUACUUUUCGACAACCGCUCUGUCAUCAAGCAGAAAAAGAAGAACCAAGUGUUACACGUUAAUGUUGUGUUCCGGAAGAACAAGAAUGAUUCAUGACUGUGGUAAAGCCAGCUGCGGAUUAACAACCUUGGACCCAAGAGAUGAGAUCCUCCUCCAUGGUCCAGAUGGGCCCUGAAUCCAAGGACAAGUAUCCCAGAAGACAGAAGAGGAGAUCAUAGAGAAAUUCAGGGGAGAAGACCGGGUGGAGACUGAAGCAAAGACUGGGGUGAUGUGGCUACAAGCCAAGGGAACCUGGGGCCCCUGGAAGCUGGAAAAGGCCAGGAAGGAUCCUCGCCUAGAGCCUCUGGAGGGAGCAUGGCCCUUCCCACACCUUGAUCUUGCACUUCUGGCCUCCAGAACCACGAGAGAAUAAACCCUUACUGUUGUGUG